rnacentral:rRNA from 1 species
AUGCAUGGCGCCGUCUGCGUGUACGCGCACGCGUUGGAGGCCGGGAUGCGCCUCCCGCUGCACCCGUUCUUCCUGGACGUUCUCAACCACUUUAACCUCGCGCCGACGCAGCUCGCGCCCAACGCUUGGCGCAUCAUGGCGGGCUUCCUUGUGCUCUGCCACUUGGCCCGCGUGCCGCCGCCCCUCGCCGUGUUCCGGCGUUUCUUCCUGCUCCACCACAAGCACAAGAUAGCCUGGUACUUCUUCAAAUCCAGGCGCGGCUCCGGCUUGCGCAUCACGGGGUUGCCGGAUUCCAUCAAGGGUUGGAAGAGCGGGGUUUUCUUCCUUUAUUCGGCGAACCCGUGGCCUUGUCCGGUGGAGUGGGGCAAGCCGUCCAAGAGCUCUCUGGUGGACCCUGUGCUCUCCGCCGAAGAUAGGGAAACGGAGGCGAAGUUGCUGAGCGCUUACGGAGCCUCCCCUGUUGAUCUUAGAAAGUAUCUUUGCCGCAGCAAUCUUGCCGCCGCCAUGAUAUCUCCCUUGUCGGCGCCGAAGUCUUCAUCACCGGAGCCCCCGGUAUUGCAGCCGUCGCCACCACAGCCCCCGGCGCCGUCAUCACCGGAGCCCCCGGCACCGAAGCCGUCGUCACCGCAGCUCCCGGCGCCGUCAUCACCGCUGGCCCCGGCACCGAAGUCUUCGUCACCGCAGCUCCCGGCGCCGUCGUCACCGGAGCACCCGGCACCACAGCCUUCAUCACUGCUGUCCCCGGCACCGCAGCCUUCGCCUUCUUAUACUGCUACCAAAGGGAUGGAUCCUGCAGUCUACGUCAUGAUGAAAGCCAUGCUGUCGGCGAACAAGGUGAAGUCCGAGCCGGACGGCAACACGACGGGGUCGUCGGCGUUGCGUGGGAAGAAGAGGAAAUUGGACGAAGCAUACGGUGACGACGGCCCGCCUUCUUAUAUGUUGCCAAACACUCAGCCUACUCCCCAUGACAGCUCCGACGGCCCGCCUGGGGGGUUCUCCCGGAGCCGGAAGAUGCGGCAUAUUCCCAGCGGACACGACGGCGACAGCAUGGACCGGGAAGCCGCACGGGAGAGGCUGCGGGGCGUCGUCCCUCCGCAGCUGGAGCGCGUGUUUGCGGCGACCGAGCCCUCCGACAUCGUCAAGUCUACAUACGUCGCUAUUCUUCAGGCAGCGAACCACGCGUCCUUCUCCUUUUCCUACGCGCUGGAGCUGGACACGGAGAACGCCGCACUGCGGACGCAGCUGCAGAAGACGGAGGCCAAGCUCACCGCGGCGGAGGCGAAGGUGCAGACGGUGAAGGCCGAGCUCGCCGUGCGGCAGCGCGCGCAGGACGCGAUGGAUGGCUACGAGCGCUGGCGAGGCGCAGACGCCGGGCGGAGGACGUGA